AACGAACGCUGGCGGCAUGCCUAACACAUGCAAGUCGAACGAGACCUUCGGGUCUAGUGGCGCACGGGUGCGUAACGCGUGGGAAUCUGCCCUUGGGUUCGGAAUAACAGUGAGAAAUUACUGCUAAUACCGGAAGAUGUCUUCGGACCAAAGAUUUAUCGCCCAGGGAUGAGCCCGCGUAGGAUUAGGUAGUUGGUGGG
rnacentral:rRNA from 1 species